UGGCCCAGUGGCUCAGUUGGUUAGAGCGUCGCCCUGUCACGGCGAAGGUCGAGAGUUCGAGUCUCUUCUGGGUCGU
rnacentral:tRNA from 2 species